rnacentral:rRNA from 1 species
GAUGAACGCUGGCGGUAUGCUUAACACAUGCAAGUCGAACGGUCUCUUCGGAGAUAGUGGCGGACGGGUGAGUAACGCGUGAGAAUCUGCCUUCAGGUCUGGGACAACCACUGGAAACGGUGGCUAAUACCGGAUGUGCCGAGAGGUGAAAGGUUAACUGCCUGAAGAGGAGCUCGCGUCUGAUUAGCUAGUUGGUGGGGUAAAAGCCUACCAAGGCGACGAUCAGUAGCUGGUCUGAGAGGAUGAUCAGCCACACUGGGACUGAGACACGGCCCAGACUCCUACGGGAGGCAGCAGUGGGGAAUUUUCCGCAAUGGGCGAAAGCCUGACGGAGCAAUACCGCGUGAGGGAGGAAGGCUCUUGGGUUGUAAACCUCUUUUCUCAGGGAAUAAAAAAAUGAAGGUACCUGAGGAAUAAGCAUCGGCUAACUCCGUGCCAGCCGCCGCCGUAACAC